UACGAAGGGGGCUAGCGUUGCUCGGAAUCACUGGGCGUAAAGCGCACGUAGGCGGAUUGCUAAGUCAGGGGUGAAAUCCUGGAGCUCAACUCCAGAACUGCCUUCGAUACUGGCGAUCUUCGAGUCCGGGAGAGGUGAGUGGAACUGCGAGUGUAGAGGUGAAAUUCGUAGAUAUUCGCAAGAACACCAGUGGCGAAGGCGGCCCACUGGCCCGGUACUGACA
rnacentral:rRNA from 1 species